GGAAUCUUGCCUUAAUGGAGUCUUAAGACAGCCGUAUGAGCUGAGCCUGAGAACAUUUAGCCCAGAAAGAAUGGCAGGGGAAAUCAAUGAUUCAGAAUUUCCUCCACUCACAUCUAUCCUUAAGGCUAUGGAAGUUGUGUCCCAGGAAAAGUUAUGCUUCAAAUGAGGCUGGAGCCAUAAGCCCUCUCUGGUGUCUCAGGAUCAGGAGUACCUGAGCAGUGACAACCUGAGUGUGACAAAGAAGACAUAAUUGACAUAUGUUUUGCCAAACCUCAUCUUGGACAGAGGCCCUUGGCAUCAUAGGCUAGUUGUGGGCAUUAUACACUCAGGAAGCUCCUGCUUGCCCCGUGCCAAGAAUUUUAGGACUUCUACAUAACACAAGCUGCCUGAUGUGGGAGAAAAACAGAGGGCUGGGUGCUAUUCACAUCUAGUUAUUAGCCUGAUUUUCAGAUAAGUCAAUGAAGCAACAUAGAUUGAGAAGUUUUUACAUGUGUUUUACAACUUAGUAAAUGAGCUGAGAUUUGAACCUAUUUAGAAAUGAGGUCUGAUACAUCUGAUUAAUUUUCUCAAUGAAAACAUACUGUGGAUCUCUGCAGGUCAGGCACUGAAGUAAUAGUAAAUAAACUGGCUCAUAUUGUCAGAAGUUUAUAAUCUAAUGGAGCAGACAGAUAAUACAAAAGAAAAUAAACCAGCAAGAGGUCUAUUGUAUAUAGAGGCAAGGAAGUAAAAUCAUGGUAAGAGAAGUAUGGUCUUAUAAUGUAAAAGGAGGCUAUUGUGGAUAUUGUAUUUGGCAUUUGGCAUCUAUUUCAGCCUUCCUCUGGUGUACUUUUUGUUCUACAGAGGCUAUAAAACUUGCAGUCAGGGACUUAGAUGCAAAUUGAAUUAAGUUAGAAGAUCCAAAAUGAGAUAUUGAAGGCAGAAGUGAGACUUUUUGAGCUUAUGGCUGCUUUUAAACAUGGUUGUAGGGUUGAUUUUUUUUUCUUAAUUAUAAUUUCAGCCUAGUCACUUGCUUUGUGGAAGUUCAGGGUCUGUGGCAGUUAGGAAGUGCAGGCCAGUGUUGCCAUAAUUGUAAGUUCUUGAUGUUAGCCAUUCCAGUAAUGGCCUCCUGAUUCUCCCUCUUCCUGAUUAUGACAAAGGCAGACACUCUCUCGGUUGGCAGCCACUUGUGCCUGUUCUUGGAGCCAUUACAGGUUGUCUACCUGAGUGCCUACCCUUUGUAACUGAUGCCUAAUUGAUAAAAAGUACUAAUUUAAAUUGCAUCUUAUUAGGAAAAACAUUUCUCAAGAAAUAACUCACGUUGAUAACUGAAGGAUGAAUAGGAGUUAACCAGCUAAUGACUGGGUAAUAGAACCUUUCAGGCAGAAGAAAUAGCAUGGGCAAAACCCUGACACUGGAAAGGAUUGAUAUCUAUCCUGACAUCAACCCUGAGAAGAAAAAUAAACUUAUUUUUUAAAUAUUAUCAACCUUAAUUAAAUCUAGGAUCUGUUAGUAAGGACUUCAUUGCAAAAAUGGUUCUAGUGGUAAAUUUUCUCUAAAGUACUGAGGUAAUCCAGGCUGACUGGUCUGUGGAAGGAAUGAGGAAGGGUAAUGGGGACUCCUGGUAUAUGUUGCUAUAGAAGUAAUCGAGUGUUUAUCAUGUAGGGUUGAACAAUUUGAAAUUUCUCUAAAAGUAAGAGAAAGUGAUUGCAGACAGCAGAGAAGAAGAGUAAUGAACAUAUUUGGAAAAGAAAGUCUCAAACUGAUUUUAAGGACAGUAUUAAGAAGGAGCAAAAACAGGUACAGGGAAUGCAAGCAGAAUACUGUUGUGAUAGUCUAGGCAAAAGUUGAUGACAAUAUGUAAAUAUAAAAUGUGAGAUAAAUUGGCAGAUAUAAGAUAUUGCUAAGCCAUGGAACUUAGUCGAUAUGUAGUGGAAAAAGAAGGUAGAAGGAUUUUAAACAUUUCUUAUUUCCUGGAAAUAAGAUGUAUUGUCAAACCUGAAUUCGAAUCUUCAAACAUUUGAUGUGUAUGUGUCAAAAACAGAAGAAGCACAUUAAAAAAUUCCUGGAAUUAAAUUUUUAGCUUUUAAUUGUAUUUUUAGAAUUGAAGCAUUAUCUUCUAUUCUGAGAAUAAAAAUAAACUUUUUUUUGUAUCAUCACCCUUAAUUAAAUCUAGGAUUCAUUAGUAAGUUCUUCAUUGCAAACGUGGUUCUAGUGGUAAUUAUUUUCUGUUGCCCAAAGUACUAUUCUUUUGUCACAGAUUAUCUUUGUUACAAUUAGCACAUCACGAGCCUUUCUCAUCAUGUUUACUGGGUCACACACAAGCAUACAAUUACAAAGGCAGGGGUGCAUGGAGAAUGCAAUGUGAACUGUCUCAUGAGACCAAGUCUUCAGUGAACAAAAGUUGGGGUCUAAAUUAAAUAGUUGCUAUAAAAUUAUAACUGAGAGAAUAGAAUGUUUAUGGUUCCUCUUUUCUUUUCAGUGCAAAAAUGACUAUAACUGCAGAUAUUGUAAAAUAAUGCCAAGAGCUUUGAAUCAGAAGUCAAGACUAAUCUCUAGCUCUUUCACUAAUGUUAUCCAAGCAGUUCUCCUUUAAUAUCUGUUAACCUGAAUUACUUCAUUUGUAAAAUGAUGUGCUUGAGCCAAAUAUAUUAAAGACUGAUAUGUUUAACUAUCAGUAAAAGAUUUAGUUCCCAUGCACUAAAAGGGUUCGUAUGCAAUAAUUAUAAAAUGUAAUUAUGGAGGAUGUUCCAAUUACAUGAUAUUCACAGGAAAAAUAAUUUGCA
rnacentral:lncRNA from 10 species